rnacentral:rRNA from 1 species
AAGCUCGUGGUGGAUUUCGGAAGGUCUUUAGUGGUCCGCCCCUUCGGGGAGGGGGUCACUGGCCUCCUAUGUUCCUAACGGUCCUCAUCCGCGAGGGUGGGGAAUCAACCGCUAGGAUCGUUUACUUUGAGGAAAUUAGAGUGUUCAAAGCAGGCGUAACUCGCCCCCGAAUACGUUAGCAUGGGAUAAUGGAAUACGACUUCGGUCUUGUUUCGUUGGUUUCGCUUGGCUGAAGUAAUGAUUGAUAGGGACAGUUGGGGGCAUUAGUAUUUAGUUGUCAGAGGUGAAAUUCUAGGAUUUACUAAAGACUGACCAAUGCGAAAGCAUUUGCCAAGGAUGUUUUCAUUAAUCAAGAACGAAAGUAGGGGGAUCGAAGACGAUCAGAUACCGUCGUAGUCUCUACCGUAAACUAUGCCGACCAGGGAUCCGGAGAGUUUGCAUGGAUGACUCCCCGGGCACCUUGUGAGAAAUCA